GAUGAACGCUGGCGGCGUGCUUAACACAUGCAAGUCGAACGAACCAGAUUCGUCUGGUUAGUGGCAGACGGGUGCGUAACACGUAGGUGACCUGCCCUCGAGUGGGGAAUAACUCGACUAACGUCGAGCUAAUACCGCAUAUGUUCGCUGAUUCAAUUUAGUGAGUAAAGCAGCAAUGCGCUUGGGGAUGGGCCUGCGGCGGAUUAGGUAGUUGGUGGGGUAACGGCCUACCAAGCCGAUGAUCCGUAGGGGGCGUGAGAGCGUGGCCCCCCACAUUGGCACUGAGACACGGGCCAAACUCCUACGGGUGGCUG
rnacentral:rRNA from 1 species